ncrna:unclassified sequences type-P1 twister ribozyme
CAAUUAAAACGGCCACGUUGUCCAUGGGCGGCGUGAGGGUCCGAAGCCCCUAUAAACAGUUGACGGGUUG